rnacentral:tRNA from 1 species
GGGGUUGUAGCUCCGUGGUAGAGUGCUCACCUUGCAUGUGGGAGGCACCGGGUUCGAUCCUCAGCACCA